GAUGAACGCUGGCGGCGUGCCUAAUACAUGCAAGUCGAGCGAACAGACGAGGAGCUUGCUCCUCUGACGUUAGCGGCGGACGGGUGAGUAACACGUGGAUAACCUACCUAUAAGACUGGGAUAACUUCGGGAAACCGGAGCUAAUACCGGAUAAUAUAUUGAACCGCAUGGUUCAAUAGUGAAAGACGGUUUUGCUGUCACUUAUAGAUGGAUCCGCGCCGCAUUAGCUAGUUGGUAAGGUAACGGCUUACCAAGGCAACGAUGCGUAGCCGACCUGAGAGGGGGAUCGGCCAAAAUGGAACUGAGAAACGGUCCAGGCUCCUACGGGAGGAAGGAGUAGGGAAACUUCCGAAAAGGGCGAAAGCUUGAAGGAGAAACGCCGCGGGAGUGAUGAAGGUCUUCGGAUCGUAAAACUCUGUUAUUAGGGAAGAACAAAUGUGUAAGUAACUAUGCAAGUCUUGACGGUACCUAAUAAGAAAGCCACGGCUAACUACGU
rnacentral:rRNA from 1 species